rnacentral:rRNA from 1 species
AACGCUAGCUACAGGCUUAACACAUGCAAGUCGAGGGGAAACGACAUCAAAAGCUUGCUUUUGAUGGGCGUCGACCGGCGCACGGGUGAGUAACGCGUAUCCAACCUGCCCAUCACUUGGGAAUAACCUUGCGAAAGUAAGACUAAUACCCAAUGAUAUCCCACGAAGGCAUCUGAAUGGGAUUAAAGAUUUAUCGGUGAUGGAUGGGGAUGCGUCUGAUUAGCUUGUUGGCGGGGUAACGGCCCACCAAGGCUACGAUCAGUAGGGGUUCUGAGAGGAAGGUCCCCCACAUUGGAACUGAGACACGGUCCAAACUCCUACGGGAGGCAGCAGUGAGGAAUAUUGGUCAAUGGGCGAGAGCCUGAACCAGCCAAGUAGCGUGCAGGACGACGGCCCUAUGGGUUGUAAACUGCUUUUAUAAGGGAAUAAAGUGAGUCUCGUGAGACUUUUUGCAUGUACCUUAUGAAUAAGGACCGGCUAAUUCCGUGCCAGCAGCCGCGGUAAUACGGAAGGUCCGGGCGUUAUCCGGAUUUAUUGGGUUUAAAGGGAGCGUAGGCCGGAGAUUAAGCGUGUUGUGAAAUGUAGACGCUCAACGUCUGCACUGCAGCGCGAACUGGUUUCCUUGAGUACGCACAAAGUGGGCGGAAUUCGUGGUGUAGCGGUGAAAUGCUUAGAUAUCACGAAGAACUCCGAUUG